UUGUCGAAUGAAUCCAUCGUCUCCUUUAGCUUUUAAUCCUUUAAAGAGCGCUGAGAGUGGAAAUCAAGAGAUUUUUUCCAUGGGGAAGUUCUUUUUACAAAGCAUUGAUUUCUCGGCACCCCGCGGGGCGGGCAACUGGCAGGGCCUCUGCAGAAUGGGGAAAUGGAGAGAGAACCUGAAAGAGCCCCAAACUCGAGGACCUAUUGCUCCCCAAGAAUAACAUCUUCCAGAACUAGACAGAAACUAAGCGUCUGGAAACCCUGAAAUCCUUGGAGGAGUAGCAUCAUCCUGACCCUCUGUGUUCCUUUUGGCAAAGGACUUGCUUCCAUUGUUUGUUUGUUCAAUUGUCUGUUUGUUAAAUAAAUAAAACUCUUUUCAUAUAUCUUUAAAAGUACGUUGGUUCUAUUAUUUUAUGAUUACAAACAAUGCUGCAGUCAUCAUUCUUCUACACUUGUCAUUGGCCACUGGUAUAUUUCCAUAGGGUGGAGGCCUGGAGAGCAGUUGUUCCAGCAUAGUGCUUACAUAGCUUUUAUUUCAUUCCGUUUUCUUUCCUUUGUUGCUUUAUUAGCUAUAACCCUUUUCUUAUUUCAGUGGCUGCUUUAGGGUUUCUGGGAUAUGUCUUUAAUUUAUCACAGUCUGCUUUCAAGUGUCAUUAUGUCUCCCUUUCUGGCCUUUAUCCUAGUGUUAUGUAAUUUUACUUUAUGCAUUAUAAUCCUUGUGAUUCAUUAUUAUUACUUUUAUUUAUUACACCAAAUAUUUUUUAAAAGAUUUAAAUUCUAAGAAAAUGUGUAGUACAUGCU
rnacentral:lncRNA from 1 species